GCAUUUAAGGUGGGGACGUCAGAUGAGACUGCCGGUGACAAACCGGAGGAAGGUGGGGACGACGUCAAGUCAUCAUGGCCCUUACUGUCCUGGGCUACACACGUGCUACAAUGGCCGGUACAGAGUGAAGCGAAACCGCGAGGUGAAGCAAAACGCAGAAAGCCGGUCUCAGUACGGAUUGGAGUCUGAAACUCGACUUCAUGAAGUUGGAAUCGCUAGUAAUCGCGCAUCAGCAUGGCGCGGUGAAUACGUUCCCGGGCCUU
rnacentral:rRNA from 1 species